ensembl:lncRNA
UUUUUUUUUUUUUUUUUGGUGUUCUUUUGCCGGCUGCACCUGUGGCAUAUGGAGGUUCCCAGGCUAGGGCUUGAAUCAUAGCUGCAGCUGCUGGCCUACGCCACGGCCACAGCAUGAGAUCCAAGCCACAUCUGUGACCUACAUUACAGGUAUGGCAGCACCGGAUCCUUUUAACCCACUGAGUGAGGCCAGGGGUUGAACAUGCAUCCUCAUGGAUGGGUUCUUAGCGCUGAGCCACGAUGGGAACUCCCUACACUAAGGUUUUAAAGAGUGUGGCUUUAAGUGGUUAGUGUUGAGCCUGCUGGUUCCUAAGGACUUUUCGUUUUUAUUUCUAUCUCAUGUAGAAACAAAGGUGCAUGUUUCAUAAAACUUAAACCUCUCGAGCAUUUUAAUCAUGGACCCUAAGUCUAGCUUGAAAGAAGAAAUUAGCAUUCUAAUGAGUGUACAGGAUGACCACGAGCACUUGUGUAUCAAGGGAGGUGGUGGGUAAGCUGUCACUAAAUUCUUCAGAGCAGUUCAUGCCUCUUACCUGCAUGUCGCCCCUUCUGGUUUGUGGCUGAUCUCCGUCACCCACUCUGUUAUGAAUUGGUAAUCCGCAGCUCUGUUUGAAAUGUAUUUAGUCUGGGGUCUUGAGGUGGGCUAGUUAUACAUUGCCCUGUUGUCUCUACCAUCUUUUAGAAUCUCAUGGAAAUAUGUAAUUCCAACAGUCUCAUGAAAUAGCUGUAGUAUAGUAGCUUUGGGUAAAGACCUGGGGGACCCAAGGGGCUAUGUAAUUUAGGGAAACAGCAGUGGGGUAACUGCUAAAUAGUCUAUCCUCCCCAGUAAACCUUGUAAAGGCAGGUCAUUUGGCAGGACAGAAAGGUGCUUAAAGGGCAUGAAAAAAGGACUUAACAGAGUUACUGUACUCCUUAAAGACGGUUAGAUACUUUGCAGAGAUGAGAUCCGAAGUAAGCCCAGGGUUCCUUGUUACAGCAGUCCAGUCCAAGUUAUUUUAGUUGUCAUGGGAGGAAUUCUUAAGAAAGUCGUUAAAGUACAGACAGACAGUAGGAGAGGUACUAAUUCAUUAAACAUUGAUAAUCGAGGUUAUUAGAUUCUAUUUUGAGAAAAGUUGCUUGCUGUUGGGAGAUAUUUUAAGAUGAGUUGGUAUACAUUUUAUUUGUGUAGCCUGUAUUCUGUUUAAUUUGAAAGGAACUUUACUUUUCCUGGCAUUUUAGUUUCCCUUAAAAAUAAAGUAUUGGAAGAAACUUAAGAGGUCUGUUAAUAUCAGUAUCUAAAUGUGACAUUUAAAAUGUCAUGGAAGCUAUGCUUUGAAUAAAAACUUGGGAAAAAGAACCAUAUAAUUGCCCCUUUUUUGUUGUAUGGAUGGCCUUGGAUUACACCGGGCUUAAUCACAUUUUUAGAAAAUAUUUGCCCAUCUCAGACUGAUAAAGUGGAGUCCUUUUAAAAAUAAAAAUUGGGAAAUGGCUUUUUGAUUAUAUUAUCAGUGUAGUUAAGAUUGGCUAAGGCAAUAAAGAAAAAUUUGAAAUGCUCAGAAAUUUAUUGUAAAUUGCUUCUACAGUCAUUGAUAAAGCAUGCUACUACUAAUCAAUUAGUUUAUGUAUUAAGACCUAUCAGCAUGUCUUUUUUAAGAACCUGGUUGACUUGAUUUUAAACUAAUGAUGUUCUCUGUACCAUUUGACUUUUUCAAGAUACUCUCCCCAAGCCAAUUCGGUUGGAAGCAAGUGUUUCUAGUUCUAGAAGCCUACUUGUAGAGUCUUCAUAUUGAAAUUCAUAGUGGGCUUUAAUGGGGUUUUGAUUUGCACUAAACUUUAUUUCCUGAAAGAUUACUCAUGUUCAAAUUAUAAUGUAGUGCUUUUGUCUUAUAAUUAAACUCUUACAGCACUCAUGUCAUUUUUGCACUGUCUUUUUUUUUUUCCAAAUUUAAAAUUUCCCCCUUUGGAUGAAUUCCUUGAAACAACAUAGGUCUUAUUUUCUUAGUUGAGAAGGUAAGACAACUACUGUCCUGUUUAAAAUGACAAUUUUAAGUGACGAGAUUCUUUGGAAAGUUAGCUACACAUGGAGAAUUGCCUGGUCUGGUGGUCAGGAUUUGGUCCUUUCACUGCUUGGCUCGGGUUCAGUCCCCCAUCUGGGAACUGCUGUGUGCCACUGCUGCCAAAAAAAAAACGGGGGGGGGGGGGGGAAAGAAAAGUUAGCUAUCCGCUACUGGUUAAAUAGCGUUACAGGUUGAAAAGUCACUCAAUGUGAUGGAAGGAAAAAGCGCAAUUUCCAGUUUUCUCCAGCAGGUUCAUGGGAAGGGGUGUUAGGAGGAAGGUUCUCUGUGGGGAUAUUCCGUCUUUGGCCUCUCCUGGGCUUGCUGUCACACUGUAGUGAGACUGCUGAAAGCGCUGGGAAUGCAUUUACUAUCUGUGUGGACUUCAACAUUUUCCCGAACAAUGGCAAACUGAAUUAGCUGUGCAGAAGGGCCGUCCUGUGCGCCGAGGUGCUGGGGCUCAGUGUAAACACAGCAAAGCCUGACGGCGUGGCUUCACUGUUACGGCCCCUGCGCUCCUGUCCCUUGAGGACCCCAUCAGGACGGUGGCGCUCGGUGCCGGCCUGCCGAGAGGCUGCGGUCGCGGUGGGGCGUGCUGUGCCGCCCAGCAGCUCCCCUCGCCCCAUGACCUCAUUUUCUGUAACCAGCUUGGAUUCACCUAAAUAGCAGGUUGGAAUUAAACAAUUGCGGUUCUGCCGAGAUUCUGCAGUGAGGUAUGGAUCUUCAAAGCAAGGUGAAAUAAUUCUUUUCAGAUUGAUUAGAAUGUGCGGGACAUUGUAUUUAGGAGACGUUGUAAAAAUUCCCGUUUACUAUGUUCAGUGGGUUUCAAACUUGAAGUGUUUGCAUGCUGACCGCGUGGAUGUUGCCAGGAGACAGGUGGACAAUGGGUUGCAGUUCGGAAGGGGGGUCGUGGCUGGACCAGGCAACCCUGGGAGUGAAUAAAAGCCCCCUGGACAGCGGACGCUGACGCCAACCAGGGACGGAUGAGCGCGUGACUGGGUCCCCGAGGUCGAGGGCGCCUUCUGCCCCCGCAGCAAGCAGUGUCUUCCCUCCUCCUCGUCGGAUGAGCCUGACGGACGGGCGAGCGAGAGAAGGUGAGAGAACGUGGGCUUCCGUUUUCUCGGCUGCAAAACGGAACCUACCGCAGGGCUGUUGCGAGGAUUGAAAUAAAGGGCUUCCGAGGCGCUGGCACACCCGUGCGCGGGCGCGGGCUGUUCCUGGACUGCCUGGGCCUGUUGAGGUCCAUUUGGUUUCUAAGGAAGCCCCUUCCCAUCGCACACGUUCCCGCGGACAGCCGCCUCGGUGGCUGGCGCUGGGGUUGCUCGUCUUUCCUGCCUUUCUUCUCCGCCCCGACAUGCGUGGCUUCAGUAGACGUGUCAGCGCGUUGAUGGUGUUACUGGUCUUGCUUCCUCGACUGAAGUGGAAGCUUCCCUUAGCAUCAGGACUGUUUCCUGCAUUUUACAUACAGCGUUACUUGCUCAAGCAGCGGUUGUCUCUAUCAUUGUGGUACCAGGAAGCCCUGAUGUUUGAGGGCUGUCUUGGUGCAGGGUAGGAGCCCAACAAUAUUUGAACGCGUACUUGAAAAAAACUGAGAUUGUCUUAAUACUUGUUUCUUUUAUUCGAGUACAUUCCGAUAGAUGCAGCACAAAGCAGGAAAACAGUCCUUCCUUAGUGAGUGCUUGCUUGCCUUCUUCUUAGCAGCUUUCAACAGUUCAUAACAGCAACAAGUCAUCUGGAAAACUUUUAUAGUGUAUUUGGGACUGCCUAAGAGGACAGGCUUUAUGUGGGGCUUACUGCCUGGGACGAAGGAGAUAGCCUGUGCUUUGAACACACUGCACCUGGAGAGGAGGUUGCAAAGGUAUCUUAUUGAUUAGGCUUCUGGGUCUUGUCAUCCUAAUAUGUAAAAGUGGGGGAGGGGCAGUGGCUAGAUGAGGUGAUCUUUUAAGUUCCAUGUCUUCUAGCAAUAAAUGGGCUAGUACUCCCUGGCAAUCAGGAUACAAAUCCAUUGCUUUCUACAUAAUUAUAAUGAUAGAACUGUUAGGCAGAUUUAUUUUCCAAAUAAAAUCCACCAAAAGUAAUGACAGCAGAUGCAUGACAGUUUCUUUUCUCAUACUACUCCUUUUCAAAUUCCUAUCUCUACCCCCCAGAAACAACCUACCGACCUGAUGAAAAGCAAAACAGUACUGAUGGGUAUUGUCUGGCCCACAAUUAGCUUUCGGGGUCAGAUAACAUGCGCUGAGACAGGUGUGGCUUUCACGAGGCUAUACCUCAGUACUUGUAUUGGGAAAAUCUCAGCUUUCUAGCUGUGUGGCCUUGAACAUGCCAUGAAACUUUGCUGUUUAUUUUUCAUCUUCAAAAUACAGAUAAUAGUAUGAACUAACAUAAUACAUACGAGCCAUUGGUCUGUGGGUUUCCUUUAUACUAACAACAGUUUUUAUCUCUUCAUGUCACUGUAAAAUUUAAUAACAUAACCCCUCCCCAAAGCACUUAGAACAGCAGGUCAGGCUAUAUUUUUCGUGAGUGUAUAAAUUACAGAAAUGCCAAGGUUUCUGACAUUUACAAUGGAAAGGUGGUACUGUGCUGGAGGGUUGGUACUUAUUUAAAAUGCUGAUAUUUGGAGUUCCCGUCAUGGCGCAGUGGUUAAUGAAUCCGACUAGGAACCAUGAGAUUGUGGGUUCGGUCCCGGCCCUUGCUCAGUGGGUUAACGAUCCGGCGUUGCUGUGAGCUGUGGUGUUGCAGACGCGGCUCAGAUCCCGCGUUGCUGUGGCUCUGGCGUGGGUCGGUGGCUACAGCUCCGCUUCGACCCCUAGCCUGGGAAACUCCAUAUGCCGUGGGAGCGGUCCAAAGAAAUAGCAAAAAGACAAAAAAAAAAAAAAAAA